rnacentral:rRNA from 1 species
AUUGAACGCUGGCGGAAUGCUUUACACAUGCAAGUCGAACGGCAGCACGGGGGCAACCCUGGUGGCGAGUGGCGAACGGGUGAGUAAUACAUCGGAACGUGCCCAAUCGUGGGGGAUAACGUAGCGAAAGCUACGCUAAUACCGCAUACGAUCUACGGAUGAAAGCGGGGGAUCGCAAGACCUCGCGCGAAUGGAGCGGCCGAUGGCAGAUUAGGUAGUUGGUGGGGUAAAGGCUCACCAAGCCAACGAUCUGUAGCUGGUCUGAGAGGACGACCAGCCACACUGGGACUGAGACACGGCCCAGACUCCUACGGGAGGCAGCAGUGGGGAAUUUUGGACAAUGGGGGCAACCCUGAUCCAGCCAUGCCGCGUGAGUGAAGAAGGCCUUCGGGUUGUAAAGGCUCUUUUCGGCCCGGGAAGGAAUACGCAUGGGUGAAUACCCUGUGUGGAUGACGGUACCGGAACAAGAAGCACCGGCUAACUACGUGCCAGCAGCCGCGGUAA